UCAAUAUUUCUGUCUGACUCCCUGUUGGAAUUGCAGUUUUGAUGUGGGUUACCGGACGAGGGUGUCCAGGUUCCUGGCGUUUUGAACAAAGAAUUGGACAAAACACAGAAACAAAGCAAUGAAGCAAUGAAGCCACAAAAGCAGAGAUGUAUUGAAAACGAAAAGUACACUCCACAGGGUGGGAGCAGACCCGAGCAGCCACUGAAGGGCCCAGUUACAGAAUCUUCGCGGGUCCAAGUACCCCCUAGAGGUUUUCCAUUGGCCACUUGGUGUUCACCUUAUGUAAAUGAAGUGGUGGCUUGCAAUCAGUCUGAUUGCAGAGAGCAACCAGUCAGAGGCUGAGUGAAGUUACAAAGUUACACUCCCAUGCAAACGUCUGAUUGGUUGCAAAAAGCAACCAAUCAGAGAUACUUUUAAUUUCCCAUCUGCCAAUGCAGAAAAAUGGGGGUUUGCAAAGGGAGUAGCCACUUGUCCUUUUGUCCUUUUGUUACUUAGGCAUGGAAAGUUAGGGUUUUCCUUUCAAUUUCGUUUUAGGAAGUCAGCGUGAAAUGGCCUUGGGUUCCCUGCCUCCAGACCUUAUUAUUCUGCCUCAGUUGCACUCAGGGUCCCUGUCCCAUAGUUCUGUGCUGAUAUCUGAGAUAUCAAGUGUGAUAUUGACUGAGGCAAACGACAAAUUACCAAUUCCAAAACGAAUACUAAUUGCAUAAUAACAGUUUCCAAGCUGUUAGUCUGCUUUCCUAAAAAAGCUAAUUUAACACAAGCACAGAACUGGCUCUUGCCCAUGGGUUAUAUUUUCGGUUGGCAGAUUUUGCUUUGCAAAAAGAUUGGGGGAAAUGAGGACUGUUGUAGAAGAAGCAUACUUGGCCUUUUGUGAAGAGGGUACAAAUUGCAUCAACCUCUCAAGGCCUGAAAGUGUGAACACAAGGACACUUAAUACCUUCAAGAGAGGUCGAUUACCUUUCCCAGAGGUAAAAUGACCUAGUGCUUUGGCUUGAGUGGGAUCCUUGAAUUUUCAGCCCUUCGAAGGAGAGUUUUGUGCAGGAUGGAGGUGCUUGAGUGCUGAGGAACUGAACCUGGGUUGGUACGCAUUGUCCAUAGGAUUCAGGGCCCAGGGGAGGGCAUGGUCACUAAAUGGCUGAUCCUCUCUGGAAUGAAACUUUAGAAAGCAAAACGCAAAAUUUUUUGAUUACUAUAGAAUGCUGAAGUUACUGGACUCCUCCUGAGAUUAUGUUCAUAACUUUUUAGCUGAAACUAACAUCUACAA
rnacentral:lncRNA from 10 species